ACGCCUGCGUCCCCGGUGGCGCAGGUGUGAAGACCGUUUAUUUAUAUCGUAUAUGCUCGGUAGAAUAUUUUUCAGAAUAUGCGCUUUGGCCAACGCGACCGCAUUGCUAUGAUAAAACUUGCUUUGCUUCCAUAAUCACUCUUACUGCAACAGAGCGACUACAUCCGCGUAGCUGAUGGAAUUUACUCUCAACACAACUACCCCACGUGCGUGAGGUCUCAUUUCCAUGAAUACACGAUCGCUGGAUUUAAACACGCCUUAAGCUACGUCGCACAGGGGUUACCAGGUUCGAAACAUAGAGAACGAAUUUACCGAAAAACCUUGUUCAAAGUGAAAUCAGAAAAACCACCACUUCUCAUUAGUCAAAGCAUAUAAACAUACUUUGCAAACCAGCAAAUUUAAGAAAAAAGAUAACAAGCUGCCAGAGGGAAACAGCACUGCCGCAGCAUUCACAGGAAACCCACAGUGCUUGCUCUGGAGGAGGCCAGAGGGCACGAAACAAGAGCAUUCCGCAUGCAUAAGUGCAUUUACGAAGAUAUGCAGCUUUUACAGAGGACACGAAACUAGGUACAAAAAAGAAAUAUGCGCUGGUACAUAAAGGUAUAAGCGCUAUUCAAGAACAUCAGCGAAGAUUCACUACGUCAAAUUUAAGCCUGUCAGUACGCAAUUCCUUGUGAUGCCGAACUUAGGAAAUAAAGUAU
rnacentral:misc_RNA from 1 species